AAACAUCGAGAUAACUAUUUCAUUAGGUCAGUUUCACUCAACUCAUCAAGUGGUGAAGUUUAGAGUCUAGUAAAAGAUGGCAGUUACAUGGGGUGGCCGCAAAGAAACUACAUUUGAAAAUAGGAUGGGUGAUCCAAAAGACCCCAACGUUACAGUCAUUGAUGAAAAUACUGAUCCUAAACUCUUCAUGAAGCAGUACAUUUUACUGGCUAGACCUGCAAUAAAAUCAAGUGAUGGACUUCCCCACCCUUACAAUUGGUUCAAUAUCCAAAGAGGAAAGUAUCCAGUACCAAAUAUUGACGAUGAAACGUUAUUUUAACUGUGAAUAAUUUGAGACCCAACUAAUUUAAAAAUAACCUAGCUUAUAAGUGUAAUUUGUUUUGUUGAAAUCAAAUGAUAUUGAAAUACAAAAAAAUAGACAGUAAUAAGGUACGAUAGUGAAUUUGUGGUAUUUGACUAUAUUAUUUGUAUUUAUUAGUCCUGUAAAUAAACUAUUGUAAAU